AGAAGAUGCCAGAGAGAAGAGGUCGUAGGAUUCGACCUAGAGUGGGGCCGUGAUUCAAUGAUCUCGGGGAGAUCGAAGGAGGAUUGACGAAGGGGAAACUUCCGGUUGAAGUAUCCUGACCUGAAAUGUUGCCUGCCUAUUUCCAUCCAAGGAAGGAAGACCGAUCAAUAAUACUGAUCUCACACGAUGGUCUCUGGGGAGAUACAUGCCCAGCUGCCUGAAAUGCACCGUGAAGUUAACACUGUGGCAGAUGUUGCAAUGGCAAUUGGCAACUUUCAUCUUUAGCUCCCGGUGGAAACAAAGGAGCAAGCUGUGCAGCAAGCUGGCAAAGGAACAUGAAUUAUAUUGCCUGUCCUUUGUCAUCGAUGCUCUGACUAAAUCAUAGAACUCCCUCCCCAACAUGAUGACAGAAAAAGAACUGCAAAGGUUCAGAAACACAACUUACCACCACCUUCUUGGGGUGACACUGACGUGUAGCUGCCUGCAUCCGCCUGCCAAAUGUUUUAACACUGGGUGUCACAGUGCUUCCCAUAACCAUGCCGAGCAGAGAUGUACACUGAGAUUUCUGCAGCAUGAUGAAGCUGUGUUUUGGUGUCCUUCACAACGUGGAACUUUGACUGAGUCAGUGAUCAUCAGAAGGGUUUGGUGAGGUGGCCACUCACACUGAAGACACAUUUUUCCUUAUCUCUGUUAGGGCAUAUUCUGAAGUCAGGGUGUAGAACAAAUAAUAAUUUCAGUAGCAAUUAAUCUUCAGAUCUGAAUGUGGAUUGUAGAUUGAAUUUAAUAUGCAGCUCUGAACAAUAGUCUUCCUGAAGCUGCAGAAUGGUGUUAACAAACCAGGAAACACACAUGCACUUGAUGUUUGCAUAUGCAUGAAUCCAGAGAUAUAGUCAGUUGGGAUUAAUAUUCAUUGUGGGUGUCUGGAGUGUGGGUGUGAAGAAGGCAAUGUUUGAAAAUUAUAUGUAAUUCAAAGGAAGCAUUGUAGGAUGCAUUAUAACUAUAGAAUUGUCCUGUGAUCUUUAGCAUAUAAAAAUGUCAUGUAAUAUUGGGUCAAGCUGGCCUUUUCUUGCAAGAGUGUCUUACUAUGAUGCCUGUUGUUCAUUUUUGCUGAA